rnacentral:rRNA from 1 species
AGCAGCCGCGGUAAUUCCAGCUCCAAUAGCGUAUAUUAAAGUUGCUGCAGUUAAAAAGCUCGUAGUUGAAUUUCGGGAUCAAUACGUCGGUCGUGCUUCGGUACGUACUGGCGUCAUUGGUUUCUCCCUUCUGACGAACCAUGAUGUCAUUAACUUGGUGUCAUGGGAAAUCAGGACUGUUACUUUGAAAAAAUUAGAGUGUUUAAAGCAGGCUCACGCUUGAAUACAUUAGCAUGGAAUAAUGAAAUAGGACGUUUGAUUCUAUUUUGUUGGUUUCUAGGAUCGACGUAAUGAUUAAUAGGGAUAGUUGGGGGCAUUAGUAUUCAAUUGUCAGAGGUGAAAUUCUUGGAUUUAUUGAAGACUAACUACUGCGAAAGCAUUUGCCAAGGAUGUUUUCAUUAAUCAAGAACGAAAGUUAGGGGAUCGAAGACGAUCAGAUACCGUCGUAGUCUUGACCAUAAACUAUGCCGACUAGGGAUCGGAUGAUGUAAUUUUUAAUGACUC